rnacentral:misc_RNA from 1 species
GAUGAAGAACGUAGCGAAAUGCGAUAAGUAAUGUGAAUUGCAGAAUUCAGUGAAUCAUCGAAUCUUUGAACGCACAUUGCGCCCAUUAGUAUUCUAGUGGGCAUGCCUGUUCGAGAGUCAUUAAGUCCACUUAAGCCCUGCUUAGUGUUGGGAGACUGCUCCAGCGGUGCUACCCUGUAGCUACCCUGCAGCUCCUCAAAGACAGCGGCGGAGUUGUGGUAUCCUCUGAGCUUAGUAACUUGUUCUAGCUUUCGAGUACACCACUUCCCCUGCCGUAAAACCCUUAAUUUUUAAUGGUUGACCUCGGAUCAGGUAGGAAUACCCGCUGAACUUAAGCAUAUCAAUAAGCGGAGGA